rfam:Gossypium raimondii Chr11_contig_1312, whole genome shotgun sequence.
AGCUGUGCAGUGAGCACAAAACGAACUAUUCUUUCGUCUUUUACUGAAGAAUACCGUGUGCUCGUCUCUUAUGGCAGCGUACGCCUAUUUUUGGAGGCCAAAUUCCUUUACAGGAAUG